rnacentral:rRNA from 1 species
CACGGGGGGAGCAAGCGUUGUUCGGAAUUAUUGGGCGUAAAGCGCGUGUAGGCGGCUUGGUAGGUCAGCUGUGAAAACUCGAGGCUCAACCUCGAGAUGUCGGUUGAAACCACCUUGCUAGAGUCCGGAAGAGGAGAGUGGAAUUCCUGGUGUAGCGGUGAAAUGCGCAGAUAUCAGGAAGAACACCAAUGGCGAAGGCAGCUCUCUGGGACGGUACUGACGCUGAGACGCGAAAGCGUGGGGAGCGAACAGG